rnacentral:sRNA from 1 species
CUGGUUUCCGGUCCGGUGGGUGCAAGAUGACGGAGCCGGGCGCCUCUCCCGAGGACCCUUGGGUCAAGGUGGAGUAUGCCUACAGCGACAACAGCCUGGACCCCGGGCUUUUUGUAGAAAGCACCCGCAAGGGGAGUGUAGUGUCCAGAGCUAAUAGCAUCGGUUCCACCAGUGCCUCUUCUGUCCCCAACACAGGUAGGCGGUAACAUCCCCCCUACCUUGGGGGGCUCAGAUAUGUCAUAAUUGUAGUACCUUUCCUAGACAGGGAAGCCCCAGCCAUCCACACAGGGGUGCUGGAGCCAAAGUAUCAGACACAGGGUCUCACCAUCUUUCACCUCAUCUGGAACAUUAGGUUCUUCUGUCCAUCUGCCUUCUCUGGACACCAGCUUCUUCCCAGCUGGGGAAAGGUGGGCUAGCUGGACCCCACUGGGCCCCAAGAUGACCUCUCCCUGCCCCCAUCUCUGAGCGUAGAUGACGAGGACAGUGAUUACCACCAGGAGGCCUACAAGGAGUCUUACAAAGACCGGCGGCGGCGCGCACACACUCAGGCUGAGCAGAAGAGGAGGGACGCCAUCAAGAGAGGCUAUGAUGACCUUCAGACCAUCGUCCCCACUUGCCAGCAGCAGGACUUCUCCAUUGGCUCCCAAAAGCUCAGCAAAGCCAUC